rnacentral:rRNA from 1 species
UACGUAGGGUGCAAGCGUUGUCCGGAAUUAUUGGGCGUAAAGAGCUCGUAGGCGGUCUGUCGCGUCUGCUGUGAAAACCUGGGGCUUAACCCCGGGCCUGCAGUGGGUACGGGCAGACUAGAGUGUGGUAGGGGAGACUGGAAUUCCUGGUGUAGCGGUGAAAUGCGCAGAUAUCAGGAGGAACACCGGUGGCGAAGGCGGGACUCUGGGCCGAUACUGACGCUGAGGAGCGAAAGCGUGGGGAGCAAACAGG